UACGGGGGGGGCAAGCGUUGUUCGGAAUUACUGGGCGUAAAGGGCGCGUAGGCGGCUCAUCAAGUCGGGCGUGAAAUCUCCGGGCUUAACCUGGAAAAGUCGUUCGAUACUGUUGGGCUAGAGUGUGGAAGAGGCUACUGGAAUUCCGUGUGUAGCGGUGAAAUGCGUAGAUAUACGGAGGAACACCAAUGGCGAAGGCAGCCUUCUGGGCCAACACUGACGCUCAUGCACGAAAGCGUGGGGAGCAAACAGG
rnacentral:rRNA from 1 species